rnacentral:ncRNA from 1 species
CGUAUGGUAGCCAGGCUUCGGGUUUAGGAGAGCGAUACGGCCUAAUUAGAGGU